GCAGGUGGGGUGGGCGACUGAGCCCAGCCUGAGGCACGCAGACUCUUGUUACCCCCACCUCCGCAGCAAUGAGGUUCAGGGAUUAGAGCCUUGGUGAUGGGGAGCCCCCCAGAGGAUGCCAGCUCUGCACACACAAAGUAGGGCAGCCUUGCCCACCGACAGGAUGGGCCUUAUGACCUCACUGAAGGGGGCAGGUGAGCACAGACUGCUCAGUCCUGCUCUCCUGCCCCUUGGUUUCCCAAGCCCCUCCUCCUGGUUGCUUUCUUCUCCCCCAUCAGGCCCCAUCCCCUGCCAGUGCCACCUGGGUAGUGGACACACAGAGCCGGCCGCUCCCCAGGCUGUGGAAGAUGAAGGGAGGAGCAGACCCCGAGGCCUCAGGCAGGAGCUCAGCCUGCCCAGACCCGGCUGUCAAGCGAGGGCUCCUGUUUCUGAAGACUCUGGAUACCAGGGAGCCAGGACCUCCUUGUUGGCCAGGACACAGACCUACAUUCCAACAGGUAGAAUGGGGAGGUGGGUGAGACCUUUACAAGCCAGCAUCAGGAAAGGGCUCAUGGUCCUCGGAGAGAGCACGUGUGAGAAGGCCUGACAACUGGGCGGCUCUGGAGCUAAGCCCUGAGCAGCCAGUCAUGUGUUUAAUGAAACAAAACUUCUCAUGUA